CGACUAGUUGGAGACAAAACAAUUGCUGUAAAAUAUGCGAAUAUCAAUUCAGUGCUAUUCCAAGAGAAAGUUGUCGCUAAUUCGCAUAUUUUAUCGCAAUUGUUGUGUCUCCAACUAGUCGCAGUCGAGUGAGAUACUGGCUUAACUCUUUCUAAAAAGAACUUACCUUCAAAUAUUGCGAAAUGUCGACAAUUCAACAUUUUCUGUACCUAUUUCAGUACAGACUAGCUUGCUAACCGGCAUACUAACUUUCCCUUACUAAUUAGUACACAUAUCAGAGGGUCUACUAGAAUAAUACUGUACUCUUUCUUUAGUAUACAGUGCUGAAAACAUUACUAAACACAUAAACGUUAUUUCCAGUUUACUCACCACUAAUAGCAGGGAACUGAACAGCCCUGUGUAAUAAAUGCACCAUACCAGGGCCCUGCUACACACACCCCAGUCCAUCUUCCACAAGACAAAGCCACUUCACAUAGAACAAAUUCAACACUUCGAGUGCUCAAUAUAUAUAUUUUCCCCAGAAAAUAACGUCGAUAUUAACUAUAAAGACGAAAUAUCUUCCAUACUGCUCGGUUUCCUCCUCACCAGCUGUAACUACUAAUCCGAACACAUUUUCUCGUAGUACGCAUGCGCUGAAAUGUUGCCGAAGGCUGGCCUUUGACGUAAGUUCCGCUUAGACCGGAUGUCGCUCUGAUAGCCUCAGUUCUGUUUGUGGAAACGCGAACCUCAGAGCAGAUUAUUUUCCUGAUAUGUGACAUGAUGUGCGUGAAGACACGUGGCCGUGGUUUGGACUGGGAGAUAAAAACCUGCUGCUGAAACCUGUAUGGGAUGUGUGCAGUGCAUGACUGGUCUUCUGAGAGAGGGGGAAAAAUGUGGAGCUUAUUAGGAAGCCCAUGUCAAGAACCAGCCUCUGGUCUCAGAGCUAAGAAAUGAUAGAUUUAUCUAUCUAUCUACCUCUGAAUUGACCGAAAUGCAGACUUCCGACCAACAAGUUGAAUGACCUUGGAGACAAACGAAGUAUUGCAGGAAGAGAUGAAUUCGAUGCUUCGACAAUAAACUACAUGACCAAACCUA